rnacentral:lncRNA from 1 species
UUUUUCCUUCUUUCUUUUCUUCCUUUUCCUUCCUUCCUUCCUUUCUCUCUCUCUCUCUCUUUCUUUCUUUCUGCUUUUUUAGGGCUGAACCUGUGACUUAUGGAAGUUAAACAGGCUACAGGUGGAAUUGGAGCUGUAGCCACUGGCCUACACCACAGCCACAGCAAUUCAGGAUCGGAGCCACAUUUGGACCUAUACCACAGCUCAAGGCAAUGCCAGAUCCUUAACCCACUUAGCGAGGCCAGGGAUCAAACCCACAUCCUCAUGGUUACUAGUCAGGUUCAUUGCCACUGAGCCACAAUGGGACUCCUAGAAAUAAUUUCAAACCUCACAAAGCUGCAGGGCAAGGACACACAUCAGAGACCCUGAGCCUCACCCCCCCAGGCCUAGAAGUCACUGCCCUGAACCACACUGGCUCCAGGCUGCCCUCAGGCCUUCGCCCCGGGACCACUGAGCUUUACCGACCCUUCACCUCUCUGUUUUAGAACACUGCCAUGGCUUUGGAUGUGCAUUGACAGUCCAAGCCCUGGUCUGUGUGUCUGCUGUCUCCUAGCAGCAGACCAAGGAGGUGGUUCUUGGCCCGCAUGCUGCCUAGCACCCGGUGACCCUUGCCCCGGGGGCUGCCAAUGUCCCUGUGGGACAGUGUAAGGGACACCAGAGGGUGUGUGAAUGGCCUGCCCUCCCCUCCACCCUCCAGGCCUCCUAGCCCAGCACACAUGCUCUCAGGAGUGCUUAGACCCUGCCCCACAGCCAGGGUCUGUGAGGCCCCAUCCUCCACACCCAGCCAUUCUGCCGUAAGCAUCCUUCAGCCCUAGAGACACCAGCUAGGGUGGAAGGUCAGGACGGGUCAGCAAGAUGUGCUAGCUAUACUCUGGAAUAUUCUCCCAGGAAACCCUCUCAUGGCUUGAGUCCUUCUUCCUGCAGACCCCAUGGUGGGCUCAGCCAGAAGCCUCUCUCGAGGCAGCCUCUCAGAGUCCCUGGUCCCCAGGGCCACUCGAAGCCCUGAAGUGGGGGUACAACCUGCAAAGCCACAGGACCCUGCCCUGGGUGGCCAGCCAAGUAUAAUGACAGAACACAGAUCCAGUGUCUCUCUACAGCUCAGAGCCCUGGGGGUAAGGGCCCAGGUGAGGCAAACCCUCUGGGGAAGCUGGAACGCACACCUGAGGAGGGUGGUGGCGGAAGCCCAGGGCUGGGCCCCAGGCCUACCCUAGGCGGGAACACCCCCAUCAUGCGUCCCAGGGACCCCAGCCUCACUAGCUCCAUCCUGCUCAGCUGAGUGGUGAAUGCGUAGACCCUGGGCCAAUGCUGCCCCUUCUAACUGUCCCCGAGCCUCAGUUUCCUCAUCUGUGAAAUGGGGAUGUGCCUCACAGGCACUUCUGUUUGUGAGCCUGAGCCCAGAGCCAGCACCGAGAAGCCACCAGGUAUCACUCUUGUCACCAGUCGGGCUCUCACUACCCUUGGGGGAUGAGCCUUUCUGGGCCCUGGACCCCAUGACAGGCCUCACCAAAAGGAGGGAAGAUUAGUGCCUGAGGUGGGGGUGGGGCCUUCCUCACUGCCUGCUGGCAGGGAGCCUCUGCAGAAAACAAAUCUCCUAGUCCCAUGGUUUUCAAAGUGGGGUCCCUGGACCAGCAUCGGCAGCACCCAGGAGUUUGUGAGAAAUGCAAGACAUCUUCAGGUCCCACCCCAAGACUUGCUGAAUCUGAAACUUGAACCAUGAAUCAUGUGUCAUCAGGCCUUCUGGGGAAGUUUUGGGGUGGGGGGUGCUCUAGUUGAGAUGGCUCUGAUUGUUACUAAUCAUCCCUGUGAGCCCCACACUCACUGCUGGGGGUGGCAGUAUUUUGGGCUGGACUCAGGGCAGGGUCCUUGCUCAAGAAGAGGAAGGCUGGGCCCAGAGACACUGCAGAGAGAGGAAAGGUCUGGGGCAAGGCUGCUGUGUAUGGCUGUGCAGGUUGCUCACUGCACAAGGACACCCAGCAAAAGGGGUGGAGAAGCAGGGGCUGAAGAACAACACGCACACAGCUGAAAUGUGAUGAGGGAGGAUGCCACAUUCCAAUUCAGACAUUCACACAAGCUGUCUUCUCGCUGAGCUGGGCCUGACUCCUCAGUGGUGCCCUGAAGGAUGGGGCAGGCUGGGGUCUGUCGUCCCUCUUCAGGUGGCCAGUUUUAGCUCUGAAAGCCCCAUUUCCCAGAAAAUCUUAUAAAACCAAGUCCUGUGCCCUGGAAACCACCCCAGUUCUGGACACACUAGUCACCUGCUUCUGUUCCUAGGCCAAGAGCCCAAACAGUCCAAGCUGGGGUCUGGCUAUCCUGCCUGCCUCCUAGUGGCUCAGAAAUGCUGCUGGCCACCUAGGCCAGGAGGCCUGAGAUGCCAUGCCACCAUACCAGCUGGGGCUGGAGAGACAAGAUCAGAGUCCCCGGGCCCUGAUUGUCCUGGGAGAGCAGUGGGGAGCUCCUGUGCCUGUGCCCCCUACCUCUGGGCAUUAUGGUCCACCCACCCACCCAUCCACCCCCCUGUGCUCUGGAAAGUCAACAGCAGAGCAGAGCCAGGGUUGCCAGCGAGGACCUCACUGAGAAGGCAAUACUUCUGAAAGGUGAGGCAGCAGGUUCCAGAGCUAUGGAGAAGAAAAGGAGUGGCACUGCAGGGAGAAGCAGGGGUCCCUGGGGGAGCGCCUCGAGAGCCCCACGAUGGAGCACCUGCGGCUUCUGUGAGGUAUGGAAAAUUCCUGAACGCCUAACAAUCAGCUCUUGCAAGGUGGCACACCGCCACAGCAUGCCCUCAGACUGGCAGGGCCAGGACUCUGCCCUCAGACUGGUGGAUAUGUGCAAAUAGGGCACUGCCCUCAACCUGGCAGGGGCAGGUCACAGACCUCAGCAGUGGGGCAGGAGUUGGUACAGAGAGGACACUUCCCUUAGAUCAGCAUAGUUAGGGUGCUGCCAUCAGACCAGCAGGGUUAGGGACACCACCUUCUGACUGAGGCAUCUGAGGAGCACCUGAGGCCCUGGGCUUUCUGGCAGUAACAGAGAAACGCCUCCUUAGCAGGGCAGCCCAGCCCAGGCUCAGCUGCACCCCCAGGAGGAAGCAUCUGCCUCCCAGGCUGGUGUAGGUAGGUAAUGCAUACUCCCCCCUGGUGAUCAGACCCUCAGGGUGUGGGGGGUUGGCGGCCAGCCCAGGGGGUGUGGCUGAGAAGGGGCCCAAGAGUCAGGAGACUGCAGUGUCCCAAGGCUGCCCCACAAGCUGCACAGGUUGGGGACAGGAACCCAUCUGUGCCUGGGACGCCCUGGCACCCCUCACCCCAACAGCGAGCAAACUCACCGGGACUCCAGACCCACACACCCCUUCACAGACCAGCACUUGCAGGAACACACUGUAGGAACUGCACCGAGAAUCCCAGAUGGCCCCCACGUCCAGACACGAUGCCCGCCUACUCCUACACCUGCCCACCUGGCCAAGACCCCCACAUGAAGUAGGGUGCACACGAGGUUCCCACGACCCUUAUAGCCCUUGUGCGCAGACGAGCAGAAACCGCUGCCCUCCCUAAACCGCUCUGUGCCUACAAUGCUCACACCGCCUGUGCUGACAGUGGGAUUGGUGGCCCUGGAGCUGCGUAGUGUGAGACCAGAAUGGCCAUUCGUGGUAACCCCUGCAGAAGCUCAUUAGCCAGUUUCACCCUCCUGAGCAUCAUCCCACAGAGCUCUCAGGCAGGCACAUGAGCUCACACACAUUCUCAGGGGCUCUGGGCCCUGACUCAUGCCUCUCCUCCUGAAUGCCAGCCCAGCCCAGCCCAGGGGUGGGAGGUGCUCUCAGACCCAUGGCUGGACCACACUGGCCUCCACACCUGCAGGCCUGGGAAGGGAAGAGGUAGGGCAAGGCCUGGCUGCAGCCCCUGGGGGACCCUGAGAAGGGGGCGGUGGCUGAGGCCACCCAUGGUCUCCCUCAAACCAGUGGGGGACAGGCCCUGGGGCGGGAGGAAGGAUCAGGCACCCGUCAAGCACCAGAAACCACCCCUUCGCCCCCAGUUGGCUGGGCCACUGUCCUGGUGAGAAGGGAGUCUGGAUCAGUGCCCACCCCUGGCCACCUCCAGGGUGCCCUUGCAGAAACCGAGCACAGGCUCCAGACAGCACCCUACCCUGUGUCCAUGAGCAAACAUGCAUGUGCACACACACUUGCCUCCCUGCUCUGGGGCCAUGUGGCAACUCAAGCCUGCGGUGGAGACCCCUCCUCCUUGCACUCCAUCUCCACCCCUGCUCCUCAUGGCACCCCGAUUUCCUCUCGGGGCCCCUGUGCAAACCGUUAAAGCCCCUGGGCCUCCUCAGGGGUCAGAUAUUAUGGGUCUCACCUCAGAGACCUUCCUGGGCCCCCUGGGUAUUCCAGUAUGCACCCCAAAGUCAAGAGGUCCCCUGCUGACUCAGCAGCCAAAGGUCAAGCCCAUGGCCCUGACUGGGCCCCCGCCAGCUGCCUAGGAGACGGAGCUGCGUUUAUCCAUGAGAACCAUCUGCCUUCUUGCCCCCAACCCCGCAGUCCCUGCUUAUUCCAGCUGAUCCCCCAUGUCCAGUGUGUUCUGUGGCCUUCCAUUAACCCUUGGUGCAGGUGCCUGGCAUGGCUAAGUGGGAGGUGACAGCCUGUCCCAUCUACCUGAAGCCCUCACAGUGCAUGGUCCGAGGCCUGGUCUAUGCCACAGCUGAGGACCACCCCACUGCCUCCUGGGCACCUCAGCCCCUGGCCCCUCCAUCAUUCCCUACAUCAUUGCCCCAAGGGCUGUAAACCUAGUUCUGCCCAGGAAGCCCCUUGAGUUUCCCCAGGCCUGGCAGCUCGCUGGCCCCAGGUGUGCUCUGUGGUGAACCUGGGUGGGAGCUGUCUCAGGGAGCCUGGGCUUCAGAGCAGCCCAGGGAGGCACAAGGCCCCCCAGGGAGGAGACACUUCAUGCACACUGUGCAAACACACCCACGAAGGGGGCUGAUGGGCAGAUGAGAUGCUGCAGUGUGUGAGGAAGGCCAGGGCCCUCCUCCCCAACUUGCCUGCACAGCCUCUCCUCUGCAUGCACAUGACAACCCCUCUGUAGGUCAGGGUGGAGAAGGAUCCCUUUGAGGCUCAGCAUUGAGGCAGGUGUCACCCAGCUGACAGCAGCGCCUGCUGGUGAAGCGUGGUAAUGCAGCUGUCGGUGCCCAGGGUGGUGAGAGGGGUGGCAAGGGGGGGGUCCUCAGGGAUGCAAGUAGGGGAUGGAGGCUCCAGGAUGAGGGAAUCAACAGUAAGGAGACCCUGGUGUCCCCUGUCCUCUGGGGUGGCUGGGCGUGGGCCCUGUUCCUUCCUGGGGUGCCUCCCGACCCUCCCUUCAUUCCUGCAUCAACCAGGCCAAUGAAGGCCCCUCAGGCUCCUUGUCCCCAAGUGUCCUUGCUGGACCAUUUGCUGUGGCCCCAGGUGUCCUUGCUGGUGCCCAUCAGGCAGGGGCUAUCCUUCAUCCCCACCAUCUAGCACAGGGCCUGGCACAAUGAGGGGUUUGGUGGUUCGUGGGUGACCGAGUAUUUCCACAGUCAGCUUGGGGUCAGGGAGCGAGCUGCUGCCCCCUGAGGCUGGCCACCCCCCUCCAACUGCUCCACAUCCUUCCUCUAGGAAAGGUGGACAGAUGGAUGGACAGAGAUGGGAUGGAGAUGACAACAGACUGCACAGGGGGUGCUGGCCACCACCCGAGGAGCAGGCUCUGGGGACACCAUCUGCACAUGAGCAAGUGUGUGCGUCGGGUUGCCCCACCUAUGCCUGUGUGGUCCUCCCUUCUGCUGGGGAACAGGGGCGGUGCAGCUGGGACCUGCCCCACAGUUGUGAUGUGGACGCUAGGUGUGUGUGCCACCAGAGCUGGAGCAGGGUCCUCUGUGCUCCAUCUCACCUCCUCUCAUUGGCUUAGCCGCUCAGCCUGCUCCAUCACUGUCCCUGUCUGUCCCCAUCUGUCCAGUUGACUCAAGCCACAAGCACCUCCCUCCAACUGUAACAGCCUUCCUCCUGGCGGUCCACACAGCUACCCAGCCCUCCUCCUCCUGCGUCAUUAGAAAUGUGACCCCUUCCCAGGCGUAUGGCUGGGGGCUCCUUGUCACUUGGGCCUCAGCUUGGGUCCAUCCCCUGGGAGAGGCCUCCCACCCCCCUGAUCUAAAGAAGCCCCCUUUCCAGGCAGGCCUGUUGUCACCUCAAAAUCCCCGACUCAUUUCAUGCCUGUCUGGAACUCAGCUCCCUGAGAGCAGGGACUGUCAUCUGUCUUAGUCAUCUUGGCACCCCAGGACUCAGACAGGGGGUGACAACAGAGCCCAAUGGGCUGACAACAUGCCAGACAGGGAGGAGAGGUGGGUGCCUGCCAUGCCCAGGUAUCCGCUCCCUGCCACC